GAUGAACGCUGGCGGCGUGCCUAAUACAUGCAAGUCGAGCGAACAGACGAGGAGCUUGCUCCUCUGACGUUAGCGGCGGACGGGUGAGUAACACGUGGAUAACCUACCUAUAAGACUGGGAUAACUUCGGGAAACCGGAGCUAAUACCGGAUAAUAUAUUGAACCGCAUGGUUCAAUAGUGAAAGACGGUUUUGCUGUCACUUUUAGAUGGAUCCGCGCCGCAUUAGCUAGUUGGUAAGGUAACGGCUUACCAAGGAGACGAUGCGUAGCCGACCUGAGAGGGUGAUCGGCCACACUGGACCUGAGACACGGUCCAGACUCCUACGGGAGGCGGCAGUAGGGAAUCUUCCGCAAUGGGCGAAAGCCUGACGGAGCAACGCCGCUUGGGUGAUGAAGGUCUUCGGAUCGUAAAACUCUGUUAUUAGGGAAGAACAAAUGUGUAAGUAACUAUGCACGUCUUGACGGUACCUAAGCAGAAAGCCACGGCUAACUACGU
rnacentral:rRNA from 1 species